CCAGACUCCUACGGGAGGCAGCAGUGGGGAAUCUUCCGCAAUGGACGAAAGUCUGACGGAGCAACGCCGCGUGAGUGAUGACGGCCUUCGGGUUGUAAAGCUCUGUUAAUCGGGACGAAAGGCCUUCUUGCAAAUAGUGAGAAGGAUUGACGGUACCGGAAUAGAAAGCCACGGCUAACUACGUGCCAGCAGCCGCGGUAAUACGUAGGUGGCAAGCGUUGUCCGGAAUUAUUGGGCGUAAAGCGCGCGCAGGCGGAUAGGUCAGUCUGUCUUAAAAGUUCGGGGCUUAACCCCGUGAUGGGAUGGAAACUGCCAAUCUAGAGUAUCGGAGAGGAAAGUGGAAUUCCUAGUGUAGCGGUGAAAUGCGUAGAUAUUAGGAAGAACACCAGUGGCGAAGGCGACUUUCUGGACGAAAACUGACGCUGAGGCGCGAAAGCCAGGGGAGCGAACGGGAUUAGAUACCCCGGUAGUCCUGGCCGUAAACGAUGGGUACUAGGUGUAGGAGGUAUCGACCCCUUCUGUGCCGGAGUUAACGCAAUAAGUACCCCGCCUGGGGAGUACGACCGCAAGGUUGAAACUCAAAGGAAUUGACGGGGGCCCCGCACAAG
rnacentral:rRNA from 1 species